GUUCAUGUAGCUUAUAUAAAAGCAAGGCACUGAAAAUGCCUAGAAGAAUCCUUAUGAUUCCAUAAACA
rnacentral:tRNA from 1 species